rnacentral:rRNA from 1 species
UACGGGGGGGGCAAGCGUUGUUCGGAAUUACUGGGCGUAAAGGGCUCGUAGGCGGCCAACUAAGUCGGAUGUGAAAUCCCCAAGCUUAACUUGGGAACUGCAUCCGAUACUGGAUGGCUUGAAUCCGGGAGAGGGAUGCAGAAUUCCAGGUGUAGCGGUGAAAUGCGUAGAUAUCGGAAGGAACACCAAUGGCGAAGGCAGCCGCCUGGGCCUGAUCUGACACUGAGACACGAAAGCGUGGGGAUCAAACAGG